GAGAAGGUGAGCGCGCAGGAGGAGAGGAGAAGGGAGGAGGAGCGGAGAGAGGGGGGUAGGUUUGGGAUCCGGCGGGGGUGGCCGACGGCGGCGACAGCGGCGAGCCGGUCCGGUAGGAGGGAUGUGAGCGGGGGCGGGCGCGCAGGAGCGUAGGGUCGGGGGAGGGGAUUGCAGCGGCGGGUGGAGGUGGGUUUGGGCUUACGGUGGCGGCAGAGGAAACGGGACGGGCGGCCUGGGGACGGCGGGUGAAGGGGCCACAGCAGCGGCAGCAGGUGGUGGUGGGGGUGGCGCGGGGGUGGAAGAGGGUUAGGGGAGCGGAAUAGAGGACACCGGCCACCUAACCGGGGAGCGCCCUAGCUAAGGAGGCUCCGCCGCCCCAGAAGUCCCGGCCUGGAGGAGGAAGGUGGAGGACCGGCCGUGGGGGAGGACCGGCCGCGGGUUGGAGAUGUCGGGAGGAAGGGAAGGACGCGGACUUUGGGAUCGAGAUGUCCUCCACGUCAUCUCUCCAGGGUCGCUGGUGCCACCGCGUAGGUGCCGUCCAGCUGGAGUGCAGUAGUUACCCUCCUCCGGUCUGCCUCGCUGCCCACCUCCAGUUCGCCUCACGCGGAAGUGGUGGCCGACCGUGUAGCUGUCCUCCUCCGGUCCGGACCCGCUGAGGCUGAGGCCAAGGAGAGGCGGCGAAGAGGUAGGUUACACACGAGGAGCAACCGAAGAGGUAGGUUGCGCACGAAGAAGUAGGUCCGGACCCGCCUGGUUCCAAAAGGAGACGAUCGUUAUAGGCUUCAUUCAAGAAAACAUGAACCGAACGCCAUUAAAGCAGGUCGGCAUCUAUUACUGAAGACUACACGUUAUUGACAUCCUCUUUAAUGUAAUAUCACAAUAUUCUUCUGGAGAGACGGUCCAGCAGGAGGUAGAGAUUCCAGUAUUGACUUACGAUAUCACGGGGUCCUCUUAUUGAACACCCGAACUGUGAAAUACAUUGAGGGACGUGUAAAAACGAUACUUAAUAUUUUAGUCGUAAAUGGAAGAACAUCUUUUAAUUACGAACUAUAGGAACUGUCUUCAAGCCAUCUAAGUGAAGAACUACGGAAGACGGUAACACGACUUGACUUGGGACUAGGAUGACGACCAUUAAUUAAACUCAACGUCAAUUAUGAACUUUUGACUACAAGUCUUCUUGUCAUGAUUUUACAGACAAGAAAGUUUGAGGUAUUCUUUUACUUCUAUCACUGAACAAGGUACCACUCCUAUACUGGUUACCACCAACCUAAGUACCAACUACCUUAGCUGGGACUCAAAAAAUAAGGGUUUGGCUAUCCAGUUUUACCACCUCUCCUGGAGUCAAGAAGUCAUGAACUCCUCUGCUUGUACAACACAACCCUACCUCCUCUUCCCGUGCCCCUACAAUCAGUGGUCACUGUUCGGACAGGUCUAGAUGAAGAGGUGUUUCCGAACUACAUUUAUAGGUACUGAUGAACGAGUUCACUUUAUAGUUUUAACGGUUGUACAAGGACCAUCUCCCCCUCUAGGAAGGACUUGGGAAGUUAAACUCGCUACCCUUUACUACUCGAGGACGAAGAAAAAUACGGCCAAGUCCUCACAUCCUUCGCCAAGGAGCAGCCAACCUGCAGCAAGUUGGUGUUGAGACCGUGGGUGACUCGUUACGGAGCCGAUGUUGGAGGGAGCAGGUGUGUCGAUCUAACUCCCCAAGUUCUACUUGAACUAGAUGAAGCUGGACAUGGUCAGGUGUGCCGAGCUCUUUAAGUAGUGUCAAGAACUUUCGGUUACCACUCGUCGGGAACUGUACCUUCUCCCGAAGGUCGUACCUCCUCCAGGAGUUCCUCCGACUACACUAUUCGGACGUGGGGCACGACCUGUUCUGCCGCAUGAUGGAUUAUUUGGGACUCGCCGAUCGCUACUACCUCCUCCAUCACAACCACUUACGCUCGGCACCGGGCCACUAGCUGCUCCAACGUAACCACCUCGUGGACUCCCGCUUAGUAUACAAGGUACAACCGGAACUACAAAAACUCCUACUCGGAAUGUACUUCGGUCCCGACCGACUCUACUUCUUACAGCAGCAGCACGGAGUGUAGCGUAGUUGUAGGUUCUGCGCACUUCCCUACCGCUGCGAGCGACGAGACUUGCACGAACAAACCAUACUAAAGGGACGUAAUACCUCGUGGUAGUAAUCAUGAACGUUGAGAUAUGGUCAUAAACUUCUUCAAAUUUCAAAGCUAGAUAGGCACCUAUAUAUAAGGUUACUACACUACAAUCGAGGUAAGAGUCAUCAGGAAAGUCGAAACCAAAACCUACACUACAGUAACGAACUGAGGAGGGGGGAUAACCUUUUACCACGAGAAGUAUAGAGUGAGAAGACAGAAUUCUUUCAAGUCAAUAGAAUAAAGAUACAAAGAAACCAAUAUGGUACGAAUCUAUGCAUGUGAUCGUACGGUUAUCGAACCGUAAAUGGAGGAUCAAUAUGGUUUUGAAAGAAGCGAACUUCUAUUCUUACGAAACUACUGUAGGCUUAAAAUCAAACAAGCAAUCAUACCGUUUCCCACGGUAACACCAGGCCUCGGAGUACAAUCGAGCAGGGGAUAAAAUCAAACGAAAAGAAAUUUCAAGUAAAAACAAUCAGAAAGAAUACCUAUAAGUAAAAAAGCAAGAGAGAGAGAGAUACAAGUUUCACAUUCCCUUUAUUUUACCUACACAGAAGACGCAAUAGAAGUUUGUAGUUAAAACAAAACAUCGUUACGGAUACACCUUCAAAACUAAGUAAAAGGAGAACAAGAUGAUGAUUUCGAUUUAGUUUAUACUAUACAAUUUUCUUCAAACUGCGUAGUAUUAUAAGUUCUAGUGUGAAUAAACUCAUAGUACCAAAGGGGGUCUAAAUCCUUGCAUCACGAAGAGAGAAGGAUAACCACACUCCACCUGUAUUAAAAAAGAAUACAUAACUACGGCAAUACCAAAGGAAAUGCUCUAUCAAAAUACAUGACCGGUAAGAGAAUCCUCUCAAAAACAAGGUAAUACAACCGUCUGGUAAGAGAAUCUAGUUAAAAAAACCACUAGUAAGAAAAAUUAUUGGUGACUACAUUGAAACACCAUGAGAGAGAAAGAGUAGGAGAACCUAAGGUCCAGUUGUGGUAGUGCCCCGCCCUACUCCAGAGAUAUCAUCAAACCUACCCUAGAGGUGAUUAAAUAGAGGAAACGAUAACAUUUGCCUCCGAGAAGAUAGACUGUAUAAUUAGAGUACGUAAUCAAAACGAAAACGAGAGAAUACAAGGACGAUUCACAACAUGGAUUACAGUAGAUUAAUCGAAAACAUUAGAUUACUGGUAUGGCUUGAACUACAACGGAAAGGAAUACCCUGUCAGAUUUACGUUAAUCGAUAACAUUAGAACACUGUGAAAACUUGAGCUAAUACG
rnacentral:rRNA from 1 species